UACGUAGGUGGCAAGCGUUGUCCGGAUUUACUGGGCGUAAAGGAUGCGUAGGCGGAUUUUUAAGUCAGAUGUGAAAUACCCGAGCUUAACUUGGGUGCUGCAUUUGAAACUGGAAGUCUAGAGUGCGGGAGAGGAGAGUGGAAUUCCUAGUGUAGCGGUGAAAUGCGUAGAGAUUAGGAAGAACACCAGUGGCGAAGGCGGCUCUCUGGGACGGUACUGACGCUGAGACGCGAAAGCGUGGGGAGCGAACAGG
rnacentral:rRNA from 1 species